AAGAGCGACGGUGUCUGCAAAAGUGUCUGGAAGGCGAUUUGUUACAAACCUAACCCAUACAUGUAUAUGUAUAUACAUACAUAUAUAUGUAUGUUAGAUACGUAUGUAUGAGAUAUGUAUGUAUGAUAGUUAUGUAUGUAUGCGCCUGCUAGCUCUAUAUGACUGCAGUCUGCUCACAUUGGAAAUCUUGCAGUUGAGUUGGACUACAAUUCCCAUAUCAGUGCGGAGAGUGGCUUAUUGGCGAAGGCUGUUGUUCCAGGGUAUGUGGAGUCCUGGCGUAUAUAAUAAACGAAGCGGCGCUAGCAAGGGAACAGAAGGUCAGAUUUGUUUGAUAAUUAUUCUGGCGUCUGUCCGAGUUUGUUAGUCGAACUGGACUGCGCAUGCGCUGACGGUGCUUGUAGUUGCGGGGAGACUAAACUGCCUGGCUUCCCCCCCCCCCCAAAAAAAAAAAAAAGACCAGUUGAGCUGUCAUUUAACAAGAUCGUUAUGGAUCAAUUUAACCGUGGCCGUAAUUUAGAAAGAAACUACUAACCAUUUUGAAGGUUUGACCUUGUUAUCAGCUCUCCAGAAGUGCAGUGACAAGAGCUGCCAGAUCUGGGCUGCAAAAAUGCGGACGAUCGGUGGUUAGCGGGUUUUCGGAAUCAUUUUGCUGCCAACUUGUGGUUGUCCACAUCUUUCAGAUCUGAUGCCCUGCGUGAGGGUUAAUGGGCAGUGUUCCCUCAGGUUUUCAGUCUGUUCUGAUAGUUGUCAUGAGCCAUAGGUGUUAAUGAGUAGCAGAAGAAAUAGACAUUUUAUUUCAGUUGUGAUUAGAAUAGAAUAGAAUAGAAUAGAAUAGAAUAGAAUAGAAUAGAAUUUUUUAUUGACCAAGUGUGAUUGGACACACAAGGAAUUUGUCUUGGUGCAUUAGGAUACAGUAUUCCUUUUAUAUUUUAUACUGCUUUCCAAAUAAUUGACAGAAUUCAUACUCUGAAUUAUUCUAGAUAGGUAACUUUGCCAUAUACUUUGUUCUAUUAUUAGCCAUUUUAAAUCAUAAUAUGAUAACUGAAUUAAAAUGCAACAAUGAUGCUGCAAAUAAAGCACAACCUUUGCAUAACACAACAGAAUUGUUAUGGCGAAAGAAAUCAUUUAAUGAAGGCUGUAUAAUUGUGAUAAUUAAAACUGUAAAACAUCAAUGUAAACAUAUUGAUGUGGUUUUAAGAGUUUUUAAUAUGAUUUACUGUAUGACAACAUAUGUUUAAAAAUUGAUAAUACAUAGGAUCCAGUCAUAAAUAAAUGCAGGGUUUAGAAUAUAAAGCUACUGGAAGCUGAUUGAAAAGUAAAAUGUAUUUUAUUUGACAUCAUCCACUAAUUAGGUAUUGUGCACAAAUGAGAACAGUCUUUGAUUUUGUAACAGGAAAAAGGAGAGAAGCCUUUCAAAUAUAUUUAUUCUCUUAUACAUUUAAAAGCAAAUGCUAGAAUUUCAAACAUCAAUAUAUUAUUCUUUGUGGAAAAUGAGGUUAUAGCUUCCUUUCAUAGCCAAUUUAUUAAUUUCAUAUGGUAUAUCCUGAAAUCUUCCCACAUUUGUUUUGUUGUGAAAUAAACAUCAGUGUUUUAAUUUAAUCUUCUCAGAUAUGUUAGAAUUAGAGGUAAAGAAUGGGUUGCUGGGGUGGCAGCUGGCCAUUCAUAAUACCCACAACAAUAUACAGCAAUAUUUUUCAUUUAAUUACCUGAUCAUCAAAUUAAUUUGGUAGUAAUUGGCAGGAGCAGUGGGAAGGAUAAUCUCUUAAAGUACUGGAGCUGUAAUCUGUAUUCUCAUCAUAAUCAAUUGCAUCUAUCAAGAAUUUCAGGCAGGAAAAUGCUGUAAUAUGAGCAUUUUCCUGCUUGCAGUUCUUGAUAGAUGCAAUUGAUAUAACAUAACGUUUGCACUUAUUUUCUGGUUUGGUUAAUGCAUAAUGCUAAGCAAUUAUAGAGUUAGCAUACUUUUCCUGUGCGAACCAGACCAUUUAACAAACCAUGAUAAAAAUCCUGGCUCAGAAGAUUUUUGGAGAGGAAAUGAUAAACUGAUAUCCCACAAACAGCAGGAAACGUGGUUGAAAACGGCAACUGGUGCUGGAUCUGGACCAUUGAAAUCUCUCUGGAGAAAGAGAGCUUGAGAUAGCCCAUAUAUACACUGCUCAGCUGGGGUAAAGGUGGCUUCUACAGUAAAAAACAAGUUCCCAGAUUUGUGGUUGCUAUCUAAGUCUAGCAAUAAAUUUGAGAAAGAGCUACAUAAUCUGCACAAUUGCAAGGACGUGCUGAGGAUUUUGGACAAUAUCUGCACGAUAAAAUCGCUCAGAUCCGGGACGGUCUAGACGCGGAUUGGGUAGAUUUGGGCGGGACGACGGAGUAUAACUCCUGUCCCGCUCUGCGUUGGCCUGGGCCGAGGUGGCUAUGGUAAGUUGCCCAGUUCUGAAUUCUCAAUAUCUUAGACCCAUCUCAUACAACACACAAUGGGACAUUUAAAUAGUAGCUAGUUUAGCUACUCAGUAUGCUGGGUUAAACUUUAUUGUUAAGGAUAGCCCAGGGAUGGCUGGUGCUGAUGCUAAUCUUGUGCUAAUCAAAUAAAAAACAUACCUUACAGAUGGUCAGAGACUAAAAGUUCUUUAUACAAUGGAUAUAAUUAAAAGAGAAAUAGUGGGAAAACACAAAGAAUACACAAAAAUACUUGGUUUACUACAUUAAGUAAUAGAAUUCCAUGGGAUCUGCAGUGUUACACAUUAUACAAAGAGUGUCUGAACAGCAAAGCCAAUGGUCAGCAUUUUCCCCCCAAAAAAGAUUUGUUUUACAUCAUCUUUAUUUAAAAAUUAAUCAUUAAAACUAAUUCCCAUUUCAAAUUCAAUCCAACUUUCCCCUUCAAAUAAUUCCUUUUCUAAAUAAAUCAUUUUAUAUCAAAUCAGUUAUGUUGUUAUUUAAAUUCAAUUUUAACAAUCCCAAUAUUUUUAAUUUUAUUCAUUUCCAUUUCAUUUAGAUUUCAAUCUUUAAUCCCUUCUAAAUAUAUCAUAAAGAAAUAAAUGCUUAAAAGGGUAAAAUAAAUGGAUAAAGUAGUAAGAUAUGAUACAAUUUGGUCCAUCUUUGGAUAAAAUUGAUACUAAAGAAAUAAUUGUGAAGAAUCAAAUGAUUGAAUAACUGUUUAAAGGGUUUCAGUAGAUUAAAAAUUGUGAAAAACGUAUAUGAUAAAGGGAGAAAUGAAGAAAAUAAUUUGAAAUAGAUGAAGAUGAGGCGAGGGCGGAUGGUAAUAUGGAUUAUAUAUUCUAUAAAAAAUAUAAGAGAUAAAAGGGAGAAAGUAGAAUAUUGGCAGAAAUUGGAGUAUAUAUAGUAAAUAUGGAGAAAAUAAGCUGUAUGAAUUUUGACAUGGUCAAUACUCUAUUCAGAAAAUAUGUAUUUUAUGUUUGUGUGUCUGAAAAAAAAUAAAAAACUGUUAAAAAAAAAGAUUUGUAAGAAUGAAUCUGCUAGUAGGAAAAAUACAUUCUCAUCAUCUGACCUGUAGGACAGUUAGAUAAUCAAGGCUUCAUCCAAUCAAUGUCCCAUGUCAGAUAAAAUCAGCAGCCAAGUCAAAUGUGUAACUGACUCAAUUUCCCCAGCUGGGAAAGAACAAAGGCAAACCUGAAUUGGAAACGUGCAUAAUUUCUAAAUAGAGUUUUAUUUAUUAACUGAAUUUAAACUGAGGGACAGUUGCUUUAAACUAAUGAUUGGACACUGGUGGAAUGGAUUUUCAUCUUUCUUACAGUUUCUUCUUACCUCCCUGAAAUUACUUUAGAGAAUUAGGAGAAUUUCUAGAGUAUAAGUGGAAAAAUACAGAUAUAGCACGGAAGUGGGAAAAUGCUAAUAUUAAAGAGACUCUCUUUGGAUGAACUUGGAGCAAUGAAAACCUCAGUGGUAAGCUUUCAAACAGGAUACUUGCAUAGACGUUAUAGUCGGCAGUGCAGUUUUCCAAGUUUGAUUUUCCAUGUUGGUACCACUACUAUAAGAAGCCUCUCCAAUAUCUGGCCAACAUCCCUAAUGCUUCCUUGAGGAAGGUUUUUACAGUUCUUAACUUUCCAACCCUGCCUUUCACAUACCUUGAAGGCAGAUUUUGUAAACUUCCAGUGGAACGUGUAACCUAUACAGAUUACCAUUACCUGGUUCAGCCAAGACAACUUGUCUGAUUAUUUAUCAAUUUAAACAUUUAGGCUAGCUAUUAUUCCAAUAGUGUGGCAGCAAGUAAUAAGAUAAUACAAUAAAGCCAAACAAAAGUAAUAUUUUAAAUCAUACCCUUUAAAAUACACAAAUAAAUUACCCUGACAGAGGGGCACUUAAAAGACAAAAGGCAUUGUUUCUAAGUCUCAGGUAGAGGAAGGAAAACUACCUGGUACCUAAAGGCAAGUAAUAUUGGCAGCAGCCAAACUUCUAGGGAAGGCCAUUGUACAGCUGGGCUAAUCUACCACUCUCCCAAUAAUGUUCUCCCUGCUCUAGGAGACGGAGGAGAGCCCCUCUGUUGCUACAGAGUAUAAUAUCCAUAUCCAAUAUACUUCUAUUCUUUUUUUUUAUUUUGUCACACAGUAUAUAUAAGCAUAAGUAUAAAAUUACUAUACAAUAUAUAAGCAUAUAUAUAAGUAUGAGUAUGUAAUAACUAUAUUAAUUGGAUAUAACGAAAGGAAACAAUAGGACAGGAACGGUAGGCAUGCUUGUGCUCUUAUGCACGCCCCUUACAGACCUCUUAGAAAUGGGGUGAGGUCAAUAGUAGACAGUUUUUGGUUGAAGCUUUGGGGAUUUUGGGAAGAGACCACAGAGUCAGGUAGUUUAUUCCAAGCAUUAACAACUCUGUUACUGAAGUCAUAUUUUCUGCAAUCAAGAUUGGAGCGGUUAACAUUAAGCUUAAAUCUAUUGUGUGCUCAUGUAUUGUUGCAAUUGAAGCUGAAGUAGUCUUCGACAGGAAGGACAUUGCAAUAGAUGAUUUUAUGAGUUAAACUCAGAUCAUAUUCAUCCAAGAGGUAAUGUUACUGGCACCUGAUAGAAUUCUUCUAGGGCUAAUGUUACUUGGUCUGUUAAAACUGUUCCAGAUAACAGGCUUGCUGCUGUAUUU